rnacentral:lncRNA from 1 species
CUUUCCAACUAUCCCGAAGAUCUUAUUCCAACACCACGUUCUAAUUUUGAUCUCCGUGACGAUGUUCUUUGACUCCCAUUCCAUACGUUCAAACCGUUUCUCAUUCCUUUUCUUCCAAAGAAUCCAAACGCAACAAACCCAAAUAGCAGACAAUAGCUUUGUAAUCUUUUUUUCUUUCCCGAAGCAAGAAAACGUACCAAAGUGACUUUCAACCC